rnacentral:rRNA from 1 species
GACGGGGGCCUGCACAAGCAGCGGAGCGUGUGGUUUAAUUCGUUGCUACACGAAGAACCUUACCUGGGUUUGACAUAUAGGUUGUAGGGAACUGAAAGGGACCGACCUUCGGGGAGCCUAUACAGGUGUUGCAUGGCUGUCGUCAGCUCGUGUCGUGAGAUGUUCGGUUAAGUCCGCUAACGAGCGCAACCCUCGUCGUAUGUUAUAUGUGUCAUACGAGACUGCCGGUAAAAGCCGGAGGAAGGUGAGGAUGAUGUCAAGUCAGCAUGACCUUUAUAUCCAGGGCUACACACACGCUACAAUGGUCUGUACAAUGGGUAGCCAAGCCGCGAGGCGGAGCCAAUCCUGAAAGCAGGCCUCAGUUCAGAUUGCAGUCUGCAACUCGACUGCAUGAAGCCGGAGUUGCUAGUAACCGCAGGUCAGCAAUACUGCGGUGAAUACGUUCCCGGGUCUU